ACGCCGCGAUUGCUACGGAGUCAGAAAGUUAAAAGGGGCAGAAGAGGAAGGGACGAAACGGCCGCGAAUGCAGUCGAGUGCGCGACGGUUCACGCCGAUCGCAGCCGAGCGCACAUGGCUCACGGAUAGACGGAGUGCGAUGUGUGCGUGAGCGUACCCGGGCUUGAAAUCGCAUCACAGGCGAGAGACACGCGAAUUCACGUCAAAACGUACAAAACCGUUAAUAGUAUCGUUGAUAGUAGACAGUAGUAUUGUUAACAGUGAAGUGUUAUCAAAAACAUACAAUUUGUGUGUAUUGUGUCGACAUAAUGGGACGAAAAAUAAAUGGCAAAAGAUUGCAUCUCUCUCGACCCAGACGCUCUACCAAGAAAGCAUGGAUUAAAAGGAUUUUGCUUUGCCCAACCUUCUCAGACGCACGCUGGAUGCUCGCACCGUACUCCGUUCCCUGUGUGUGGUCGUCGGGGUCGAAGUCACUGCUCCUCGCAGCUCGGCUGCAUUCUCUGGCUCGCUCCGCUGCUCCUCGAUUCCUGUGCCCCCGGCAGGCGGUUUCAAGGUUAGGUUGUAACCGGGUUAAGCUAACGAAAGAGUAUGCUUCGGAAAUAAUAUGUGCACAGACCUUUGAUGUCUUCUCGAUCCGGUCGAUAUUCACGGUCGCCAGUUCCUUUGACCAUCCCAGGAACAAGGUUCCACGUCUCCGAGUCGUCUCUCGAACUGCCGGAACGCUCGGGACACGCUGUGAGCUGCCGUCGCACAGGACACGUAUUCCAAUUUUUAGGUUAUGUCUUAACUAACACGAACGGUUCCCACUAAACUAAUAUGUCUAAUCCCCUUUUUUCUGUUUUAGGUGCUGCUGCUGGACUCCCCUCGGACUUCGCUGGACUGCCCUCGGACGUCUCUGGACUACCACGCCCUUCCGGAUUCACCCUCAGGUAAGUAUGACACCAAGGUGUUCCCCUAACCUCAAAACCGGUUUUGCUAAGGACGAUUCUCCCGUCAGAAUCACUGGACGCCGUCUCCAAGGAUGUAGACAACACACACAGAAGGUAUGUAUGUAUAACACUUAAUGUUAAUGUUAAUAACAAAAGAUUAUUUAUUAAUACACUUAAGAUUUUCGUGAUGCACAUUAAGCCCGUACACGACGCUUAAAUUCACAAUCGAGUACGAUUUCGUGGCUGUUGUUAUGCGCAGUGCACAUUCCGCACGCGACGCUAACUGAUUGUCGUUAUUCGCGCGGUAAAAUAUUUUACGCGACUUGCGCGGAGCUCCUGAUACCUCGGAAGUUCAGAGCAGAAAGCUGUCGAUAUUCCGCGCGCCCUCCUUUUAUCCUGGCGCCCGUCGCUGUCCUCCACCAAUCAGCGGAUAGCGUCGGUUUUCUGACUGUCCAAUCCCGUUCGGGCUUCCCUCUCCGCGUCUGGAACGCCAAUCAGGAUGUUCUGUCGUGGCGCCGUUUCGUUCAGCCAAUGGGAAGAUGCCUGGGUGAUGAUGGCUCCCCUCCAGCUUUUCUGGGCCAAUGGGAUGACUCCAAGAGACCGGGUGUUCAUACGCACUGAAAAGUGCGGUUGGUGCAACUGUUUACCCCCUCCAUGCUUCCUUUGAGGUUAUGUGAUGUCGUAUCAAUGCUCGCAACCUCUGCACUUUCGGGUGCCACUCAAUAACUUAGGUGUACUUUACAUGAAAAUUCGUAAUUACUAUAAAAUCGACUAGCUAACGCAAAAUUUAUGCUUUUCUCAAUUGGAUAUGAUAUUUUAGGCUUUAUUAGACACUUUAUCUUAUAAAAAGUAUAAAUCUGUUUAUUAAAUAAAAUUAUAUAUAAAAGAACUUACUUAACUUAUUUCAGGUAUCACAUGCAUACUUUAUCGCAUUUAUCUCUUAGCCUAAGUACAUAAAAUGUUGUUAUAUAAUAAAAAUAAAAAAAAUAAAAAACAUAAGAACUUUGAUAUUGACUUGAUUAUGAUUGCACAAUAAACAUAUGAACAUGACUUAAUGCUAGUUCCUAGCUUUCCGAUAGCUAUUAACCUUACCUAGCGCGACUUUUCUAACUCGCAAUCUUCAAAAUAAAACAAGAUAACAAAAGAAAAUAUAAUCUUCGCAUGAUUUAAACCCAAUGACUUGUGAAUUAGCUUAAGGCUUAAUAAAACCAAACAAAAUAAAUGUUUACGCAAACGCUACGUAUUGACUUAGAUACGCUCGGGCCGGAGACUCUUGGUCGCUCUGCCCUCCUGGUCCUUCCCCUCGACAAUCUUUGUCUUAAAAAACUUUACGCCGCUUGGUCCUGGAGUUGGCUCGUCCUCUGGUUGGCUGGCUCUGUUGGUCGGUCGCAAGGUUGUAACUGGUACCGAGAAUUGGAACUGCCGUCGCUCGCCGCCGGAUCGCCGUGGACUGCCCGGAUCGUCACCUCGCUCAGGAACUCACCAGGUAAGUAUUAAGCCUUUGGAACUAUUCCCUUUGACUUCGUUUAACCACUUUAUUUUAUUUUCAGGAAGCUCGCAGGACUGUUCACGCAGGAUGGCAUGCGGGUACGUCGCAGGAUGUUUGAAUCACUCAACAAUGCUUUGUUAUUUUUGUAACACACAAAUAAAAUUUAUUUCUAACUCAAUAGGUGUCACAGUGUUAACAAAACCCCGUACGCGAUGCUUGUUCACACACGAGUACGGUAUGCUCUCUCCUCAGUCACAAAAUAUCCAAAAACAUGUCCCCGAACGCGCUGCGUAUUCACAAUCGUGCCCGAGUCGCUUGCACUUAAAGUUCACAUAGUGCAGAUAUUUGCACUCGCGAUGUCUGCCUACACGCAUUCAGCAGAGUUGUUGAUUUCGCAAUUAAUUCGCGAAAAUACGUCGCGUGUCGCUUGCUUCGGCUUGUUAGCGUCGCGUAAAAUCGCGACAGCCUAUUUGCACGAGCGCGUCGAUUCGUGUUACGCUCUUUGUAUCGCGGCUCGUCACCCGCGGAACGGAUUUACAAGACUAUGUAUCGGCACUCUUAAUUUGGCGCGAAAGUCGAGUAAAAGUCGCGCGAAAACUUCCGACACUCCGCACGAUGUGUCUCCGAUGGAAGUCGCAACGAAAAUCGUUGAUGGGAACACGCGUCGUUUCGUUUUAUACGCGUCUCCCCCUCUAUGCAUCCCUGAGCCAAUCAGGGCGUUGCAGCGUCUUGGUCGCUUCGUCCGUUCAAUGAGCGCGUUCCUCCGAGUUGGCGGUGACCGUCGACCAAUGGUAUCAUCUCUCCUCGUUCGCUGCUCUCGACUGACUGCAUCAACCAAUGAGGCGCUCCUGCCGGAGCGUGUCUCCCCUCCAUGUCGGCGAGAGCCAAUGAGCUCAUUUCGGCUCGAGACUUCGCACCGGGAAGACCUGAGUAACUGGGGCACUGAAAAGUGCCGUUUGCACUCUAACGUCAUGCAGGCGAUGCCGCCUGCUGCACUUUCUGCACUUUCGGGUGCCACCGACUUAGAAUUAACUUACAUCUAACGAAUAAUAUUAAUAAUAUCAUAAUAAUCAUAUAAGACAUGCAAAAUAUAAUUUUUAGUAAACUUAAUGAAAUCAUCACGUCAUGUCACGGUGACGUACAUGCACAUAGCGUACAAAAGAAAAGAAAUGUUUAAGCACAAAAUAAUCGUAACUACGACGUAUAAGUAAUAUUCCUGAAUUAGCUCGAUGAGCUUUAACAUAUUUAAGUCUACGUUAACUGAAACACGUAGCUCGCUGCUACUUUUACUUUGGCAAUGCCUAAAUGAACAAAAUAUAUUUUUAAACGUAAAAUAGAAUUAAAUGACACGCUUCGCUAUCGGACUCGCGUUUUUCGUGCGCAUAAAAUAAACUAAUCAAAAUAAUAAAUUUUCUGGUGUCUCGCUGCACCUGUCUGCUUUGAAAUAACAAAAUAAAAUUUACUUCGCGAGAGAAAUAUUUAUCGAGCAAUUUCGCGUAUUUUACGCGAGUUUUACGCGACGUUAUUAUUUAUCGCCUUGCUCUACGCUCAGUAAGAUGCUCUAACCUUACGGCGGGUUUUUUCGUCUCCGUCCGCUCUGCUACUCCGUCAGCUGCACCUUGGGCUGCGUCCCGCUCGUCUGCCUGCCUGCUCGUGGAUGGUGUUGGCGAUGGGACCUUUCCACCACCUCCUGGAGGCGGUUUCAAGGUUAGGUUGUAACCGAUACCGAGAAUUGGAAGUUUCGUAACGUAGGAAAUGAACGAUCACAAACCUUUACAUAGCACGUGGCCCGUGUCACUGCUGUGGUCGCCAGCUUCUUUUUCCGCCAAGAAGCAAGGAUCCGAAUUAAUUGUAAUAUUUUCUUUCGGUUUCAGCUGCCGCCGCUUGCCGUCGGAUCCCCGUGGACUGCCCGGAUCGUCGCCUCGCUCAGGAAUUCACCAGGUAAGUAUUAAUCCUUUGAGUUUAUCUCUUUCAAUUUUAUUUAAUCACUUUAUUUUAUUUUCAGGAAACUCGCAGGGUUUGUCACACAGGAUAGCAUGCGGGUACGUCGCAGGAUGAUUGAAUCACUCAACAGUGCUUUGAAAUUUCGUAACACACAAAUAAAAUUUAUUCUCAACUCAACAGGUGUUAUAGUAUUAACAAAAUCCCGUACGCGACGCUUGUUCACAUACGAGUACGGAAUACGCUCACCUCAGUCAUAAAAUUCUCGUAACAUGUCCCCGAACGCGUUGCGCAAUCACAAUCGUGUCCGCGUUCCUUGCACUUAAAGUUCACGUAGUGCAGAUAUUUGCACUUGCGCUAUCUGCCUACUCGCAUUCGGCAGAGUUAAUCGUUUCGUUAUUAACACGCGAAGUUACGUCACGCGUCGCUUGCUUCGGCUUGGUAAUGUCGCGGAAAUAUCGCGACAGCCUGUUCGCACGAUCGCGAUUAUUUGUAUUACGAUCUUGGUUUCGCGGCUCGUCACCCGCGGAACGAAUUCACAAGACUUGUGUAUCGGCACUGUCAACUUGGCGCAAAAGUCGAGUGAAAGUCGCGCGAAAACUUCUGACACCCCGCACGAUGUGUCUCCGUUGGAAGUCGCAACGAAAAUCGUUGGUGGGAGCACGCUUCGUUUUACACGCGUCUCCCCCGCCGCGUACCCCUGAGCCAAUCAGGGCGUUGCAGUGACUCGGUCGCUCCGUCCGUCCAAUGAGCGUGUUCCUCCGAGUUCGCGGGGACCGUCGACCAAUUGCAUCCCCUCUGCUCGCUCGCCGCUCUCGACUGACUGCUUGGACCAAUGAGAAGUUCCUGCCGGAACGCGUCUCCCCUCCAUGCUGACGUGAGCCAAUGAGCUCAUUUCGGCUCGAGACUCCGCACAGGGAAGACCAGUGUAACUGGGGCACUGAAAAGUGCCGAUUGCACACUAACGUCAUGCAAGCGAUGUUCUUGCUGUUCCUGCUGUUCUUGCUGCACUCUCGGGUGCCACCGACUUAAUACUAACUUACAUCUAACAAUUAAUAUUAAUAAACUAAAACAACCAUAUAAGAAAUACAAAAUAUGAAUUUUACUGAACUUAACGUAAUCAUAGCGUCACGUCACGGUGACGUACAUGCACAUCGCAUAUGACAAAAAAAAUGAAAUAUUCAGACACAAAAUAAUCGUGACUACUACGUAUAAAUAAUAAUCUUGUAUUUGCUCGAUGAGCUUUGACAUAC